AUCUGGGCGGCGGAAUUCAGGAUGACGGGCGUGCUUCGCGGCGCGCGUCGGUCGUUUGAUAUUUCCGUCGCCGAUCACCCUCAGACGUCGCGACCUGUUCGCGGUCGGUCCUUGCUCGGAGGAGCCGCGAUCGAGUUCGUUGUGUGGCGCGUUUCGGCGUGUCACACGGCGAAGACGCGGAUCUCUGGCUGGCCGUCGGACAGUACGCUUACGGUGUCCGGUGUCGUCGUUUCGUACGCGCGUGCACCGGUACCGGUCAGCGACGAAUUCUUCGGGCCUCUUUCCGACCCGUCUUGAAACACGGACCAAGGAGUCUAACAUGCGCGCGAGUCGCGGGGUGUCGAGCGUACUUCGGUGCGUUCGUUACGUUGCGAAACCCGUACAUGUCGAAGGCGUAAUGAAAGUGAAUGGGGAAGAUGGUGUUCCGAGUACACGUUCCGCGAUCGUCGGUAUCGCGGCCGGACACCCGCAUUCCCGGGGCGUCUCAACGGCCCGUCGCUGAUGCGGACAGUCGUCUCUCGGGGCGGCUGUCGGUCGGCGACGAACCGA
rnacentral:rRNA from 1 species